rnacentral:pre_miRNA from 1 species
CACAAUGUUAUACUGGAGAGCAGGAAGAGCUCUGCUGGGUAUAAGUAACAGGCUUUUCUUUUUAUUCUGUGUGGCUCUUUGCA